GGUCGCGGGGCAGCCGGGGCGGAAGGGGCUUGUUCAUUAUUUUGAGAGUUUGUUGUGAACGUCAUAACCUUUCGUCCUUAAAUAUUGCCGAUACUUGACCUACGCAAGAGACAAUGUCAUGUGAUUCAGCCUAAUAUCUCAGAGGAUGCAGCAUUCAAGGUUCUAUCUUGGAAGCAGAGACUGUGCCCUCACCAGAUGCUGAACCUGCUGAGCACCCUGAUCUUCCACUUCACCUUCAUCAGAACUGGACGCGCAUGAAAUUUGGUGCCGUGACUCGGAUCGGCGGACCUCCCUUAGGAGAUCAAUCCCCUGUCCUCCUGCUCUUUGCUCCAUGAGAAAGAUCCACCUACGACCUAAGGUCCUCAGACCAACCAGCCCAAGAAACAUCUCACCAAUUUCAAAUCCGAAAUCCUUCAUCUAAUCUGGCAAACACAUGUGGCAGGUUUUUCUCACCGCAUAAAAUAUGUUAUAGAGUAGUCCAUCUAUUUCUCUUCCAUGGAAGAGUUCAUCUGGUAGAUUGGACUACCACUUUUCCUUGUGGAGACCUAUUCUGUUGGGUUAGAGAUGACAGAAAAUCUUAUUUGUCGGUUGGUUUGUUUGUUCAAGAAUACACUGACCUUCUACAAGAAAGGAGAGCUCUUUGACACCUGGAAAUUUUACAGAAGCUUGGGACAGCUCUGAAUGGCAACACGGUCCUGAGAUAUGUGAUUACCUGGGACUUUCAUUGGACCUGCAUUUCAGCUCUACUCUCCUCACUGCCCUAUGCUGCUUUGACCCUAAAAGUGAAGCCAGCUUGGCCAGGUGCAGUGACUCACACCUGUAAUCCCAGCACUUUGGGAGGCCGAGGUGGGCAAAUCAAGAAGUCAGGAAAUCGAGACCACCCUGGCCAACAUUGUGAAACACCAUCUCUACUAAAACACAAAAAAAUUAGCCAGGUGUGGUGGCACGCACCUGUAGUCCCAGCUACUCGGGAGGCUGAGGCAGGGGAAUCACUUGAACCCGUGAGGAGGAAAUUGCAGCGAGCCAAGAUCGCGCCACUGCACCCCAGCCUGGGCGACAGAGAGAGACUCCAUCUCAAAAACAAAACAAAACAAAACAAAAAAAACAAAAAGUGAAGCCAACUCAAUUGUCUCAUAGAACUGAUCUUUACGGUGUUUUUAAAUAAACAUAGAAAUUGGCCCUCCCAGUCUUAAAACUUCAAAAACUUACAUUUGUCUUACCUCAGUUCCUUUCUCAGGAAUCCAAUCAUCAAGGCUCCCAGAUAGUAUCAAUGAACGGAAACUUACCAGAUCACGAUAUCUGGACAAUGAGAUGUCAGAUCCCCCUCAUCCAUCCUGAUUACCUAACUGACUACCUGCUUCCUGUUGGCCAACUACUCUUCCUUACCCCUCCCUAAUUCUUGUUUUCCCACAAAUGGUUACAUUUCUGUCCUGCUAUAGAAGCCCUUAAUUUUAAUUGGUCGAGGAGAUGGAUUUGAGACUGAUUUUUUGCUCUCCUUGGCUGUUGCACCUGAAUAGCCUUUUUCCCUGGCAAUACUUUUUGUCUCAGUGAUUGGCUUUCUGUGCAGUGAGCAAUGGGACCAAACUUCUGGUGUUUUGGUAACAAAUUUUGGUUUCCUGACUGUGAAUGCAUUGCUUGUGACUCAGCUGCCAUGAGCUGGGAGAGUUUCAAAAGCCCUCUAAGCAGCUACCUGACCAUUUUGGCCAGAGGUGGAUUUUCGUCUCUCCCCAUUUGGGCCCACUUCUGCCAACCCCAACCAUGUUCCUGAUUGCCUAGGAAGAACAGCCUUUGAAAUUUGACGUCUAUGUACAGAAAGGGCUUUGACUCCUGGGUAAAUCUAAAACACUGACACCAGUGCAAGCCUCAUCUGUAGACCUGGGAGAAGGUGACAAUCAAAAUGAAUUGCUUUCAUGAAACACAGGGCCAAAAAUUAAACUAUUUAAUUCCUCUAGAAUCAGGGAUUAUUACAGAAGAGACAGUGGGGGCUUGAGAUUGUAAGGGCCAAUUUUGAAGAAUAAAAUUAGUUCAGACCCUCCAAUUCAAGGAUGGGCACACAGAUGCCUAAACAGUUGACACAUUGAGGAGCUUUGGCUCUUUAACUUCUUUAACUCAACAGGUUUAACAAAACACUUAAAUGUGGGUUAUCUAUGUUAUUAAACAUCAUAGUAUCCCAUAACACUCCUCCUCAGCAUGAAGCAGCCGGAAAGAUCUAUGCCCAGAUUCCCCAUGAUUGAGGAAUUGAUAAAUAGAAAAGAGUAACUGAUACUGGCCCAGUUGUCCCAUAGAACUGAUGUUUAUGGUUUCUUGAAUGAACAUAGAAAUUGACCCUUCCAGUCUUCAAACUUGAGAAACUUACAUUUGUCUUAUCUGAGUUCCUUUCUCAGGAAACUAAACAUCAGACCUUCCAGAGAGUAUCAGUGAACUGAAACUCACCAGAUCACCACAUCUAGACAAUAAGACACCAGACCCCUCUUCGGUCAUGAUUGCUUAACUGACCACCUGGCUUCCUGUUGGCCUAACACCUCUCCCUUGCCCCCAUCCCCCAACUAAUUGCUGUUUUCCCACACAUAGUUACAUUUCUGUCCUGCUAUAGAAAACCUUAAUUUUAGUUGGUUGGGGAGAUGCAUUUGAAACCGAUAUCCUGUUUUCCUUGGCUGCAGAAUCUGAAUAACCUUCUUCCCUGGCAAUACUUGUUGUCUCAGCGAUUGGCUUUCUGUGGAGGGAGGAAUGGGACUUAGACUGAGCCCCUGGUAUUUCAGUAACAAAAGUAUUCCCUGAUAAUCUUCCUUCAUGUUUAUCUCCAUAUCAAUAUCUCCUCACUGGGAAAUCUAGCCUGGGGCACUUUUGGUUUUCUAUCUAACCACUUUAAGAAAGUAUAAAAAGAAUGUGUGCAUUGUAUGCAUUUAUGAAAUUUCUGGUAUGCUCAAAUCUUGCGUAUGACAGAUAGCUCUCAAUUACCUAUGCUCUAGUAAUCAGAAAUAAAAAUUAGUUGUUUUGUUAAAAGUGAUAUAGUGCAUGGGUGAUUGCAACUUACUAGGAGCAAUAGUGGCAAAGACAUUUGCCUGUGUACACAGAUUCUGAGAUGUAUUUUCUAAUCAAGAGAAAAUUGGUCUUAUAGAAACAUGUGUUGAUGCAGAACAUUCUAUUUGAUAGGUCUUGAGAAUGUCACAGACAAUUUUACUGAGGAAACUGCAAUCGGUAACAUGAGUUUGAUCCUCGGCAGAAAAUUCUGAAAGCAAGAUGUAGGUAGAAAUCUUUGGCAUCUAAGCAACAAUUCAGGAAAGGUGACCAACGUUAAUUACAAGUAAACAAAUUUUAUUUCCCAGCCUCUCUCAAUGGAGAGUUACUUGAACAGUAUUUAUUUUUCAAAAGACUGGAAAUAGAUGCAGAUGGCUGAGGCUCCAACCCUGAUUUGUCCAUUACCUUUUUGCAUGUUUUGUGCAAAUCCACAGCCUUAUGAUUAUCACUGUUCUUACUGGAAUUAUUAGCAAAUAGUUUUGUAAUUUCUAUUAUCCAAAUAUCUUAUCACCUGAUCCUUGCCUAACACUUCCGUUUCACCCCUUCUGCUCCUUUCUUGCCCAUGCCCUUCCCAUCCUACAAACCACAUAUGUAGCUUCUGAUACUGAAAUAUUCUCUGUGCUCCUGCUCCAAGAGACAUCAAGGGGUUAAGAGGGUGAACCCUGCAGCCAGCCGAGUCCCUGCAUUUUCUCUGUCAUUUCCCAACUGUGUGACUUACAGCAAGUUACUUACCCUCUGGUGCCUCAGUUUACUUAUCUCUAAAUAGAGAUCAAUAUCAGCAUCUACGUUAUUUGGUUGUGACAAGGAUUAAGUAAAGAGUACUUGUUUCAUAGUAGCUCAAGUAUUCUUUGGUGCUUUAUUAUUUGUUAGCAAUGACAUGUUCCUGUUUAGGAAUUCUGCUGCUCCAUUUUGCACUCUGAAUCUAUUACUGUGUGAGCGUAUUUUUCAAAUUCUACUUUAUGAAUAUGUAUGAUGAAAGGUAUUUGAUAGAGUACUUGCACGUGUAAAUUAUUGCAUAAUUGUUGAGAAAUUAAUGAAAAUUUUAUUUAAAAUGUUCCUGUUGCCUAGAAACAGCAUAGAUGCCGAAAAGUACUUCUCCCAAGUUUGUAUUGAACAACUGAGAGAUGUAUGUGAAUUCGUUUCUUUCCAUUAAAAGAAUUAAA
ensembl:lncRNA LINC00882 long intergenic non-protein coding RNA 882